CUUUCUGGAAAUUUCUACUUUGUGGAGUUUCCCCUGAGAACCUUGAUCCUUGGAGAUGGCACCAGUUAGCGGCGUCUGGACACGUUUCAGUACGUACUCCAAGAAAUAUCAGUGAAUGCAACUGUGAAGUGAUGAUGAUGAUGGCAGGAGCUAUAUCAGUCCCUGCAUGGCUCAGGCAGUGUGGUUCUGGACCCCAGCCUCCAUGUGUUGGGAUGGGAACACGUGUGUGACAUGGGAAGGGAGCAUGCUGUGUCAAGUCAGCUAAGAAAGAAGGCAUCACUUCAGAUCUGGUCUAAAUCACCAUUCCCAGAAUAAUAAUAAUAAAAAAAUUUAAAUGGAAUUACACAAAGUUGCUCAGGGACAAGCCUUUGGAGCUCCACCCUACAGCACCUUGUUAUUCCUGGAGCACUGCAUAGAUCCUGAACGUGGUUGUACAGACACCUCUCCAGUUGCCAGCAUUUUCCAUGUGAGGGCCUUGCUAUGACUAAACACAGUUUUAUAACUCCCAUGACAUCCAGCUAUAAAUAAGAAGAUCAAAGCCUUGACCCUUGGAAACUAACUGUGACCCCAUCAUUGAGCAUCCGUGCCUCAAAGACUGUAUUAAGAUGGAAGGGAACAUAAAUCUAGGAGGAACUAAUGAAGACCCCCAGGGCCAUCCUUCUCUAUAGCUGUCUUGUUAACAUGAUCUAGGAAAGACAGGGGGCCCUUAAAUAAAAAAAACAAAAAGCAAACAGAGGUAAUAAGUGACUCAUCAAAGUCAGGCACAGACAGAAUAUUGUCGAGGAGGUGCUGCAUCAUGGGAUGAAGUAUUGCACAGCACAACU